rfam:Dipodomys ordii contig_714, whole genome shotgun sequence.
GGGAAUGUGGCUUAGUGGUAGAGUGCUUGCCUAGCAUGCAUGAAGACCUGGGUUCAAUUCCUCAGUACCA